rnacentral:rRNA from 1 species
UGGGGAAUAUUGGACAAUGGGCGAAAGCCUGAUCCAGCCAUGCCGCGUGUGUGAAGAAGGUCUUCGGAUUGUAAAGCACUUUAAGUUGGGAGGAAGGGCAGUAAGCGAAUACCUUGCUGUUUUGACGUUACUGACAGAAUAAGCACCGGCUAACUCUGUGCCAGCAGCCGCGGUAAUACAGAGGGUGCAAGCGUUAAUCGGAAUUACUGGGCGUAAAGCGCGCGUAGGUGGUUCGUUAAGUUGAAUGUGAAAGCCCCGGGCUCAACCUGGGAACUGCAUCCAAAACUGGCGAGCUGGAGUAGGGCAGAGGGUGGUGGAAUUUCCUGUGUAACGGUGAAAUGCGUAGAUAUAGGAAGGAACACCAGUGGCGAAGGCGACCACCUGGGCUCAUACUGACACUGAGGUGCGAAAGCGUGGGGAGCAAACAGG